GUCGGCCGCAGGAACCGCAGGAAGUUCAAGUUCCGAAGGCAACUUCAACCCCGUAUGAGGUAGUUUCAGAUGGUGUUACGUUGAGCGAUUCGUUUGCUUCAUCAAGUUCUCCCUUUUUAAUACUUUUUUUCAGGUGCUUGGUGUGAGCCCCAUUGCAGGAUUUGAGGUGGUCAAUGAGGCAUAUGCAAGAAAACGCAAGGAUGCACAGGAGAGAAGGGAUGAAGCAACUGCUGCCCAAUUAGAAGAGGCGCAUGACAAAUUGUUGAUGGCAGAAUUGGAAAACUGAAAGAAGGGUGUGACAUCUGGUUCCUUUGAGGUUUCUAAGUAUAUCAAGUAUGCCGAUAAGUAGCCAAUAGUACC